rnacentral:rRNA from 1 species
UACGAAGGGGGCUAGCGUUGUUCGGAAUCACUGGGCGUAAAGCGUACGUAGGCGGAUUUUUAAGUCAGGGGUGAAAUCCCGAGGCUCAACCUCGGAACUGCCUUUGAUACUGGUGAUCUCGAGUUCGGUAGAGGUGGGUGGAACUGCGAGUGUAGAGGUGAAAUUCGUAGAUAUUCGCAAGAACACCAGUGGCGAAGGCGGCUCACUGGCCCGAAACUGACGCUGAGGGGCGAAAGCGUGGGGAGCAAACAGG